AAAAAGACAUCUCCAAUUAUCAUACAAAAUCACACUUAUUAUUAGCAGUAAACAAUUCAGAAAAAUCACACCAAUUAAUUAUAUUAUUAGCAGCCAAUCAAUAGUGAGUCACACCUACAAGUUAAAAAACCUCAUACAUGGCAAGAUGAACACCAAUAUGCAAAAUAUAUUUCACAUGGCAUAGCUAAUUGGAAAGACAAACAUUCACACAUAUCAAAGUUAUAUCUUAGCACCUUAACAGGCUAAAUUCACUAUAAAAAAAGGUUAUUACAAACCAAUUUGUCUUUCAUCAGCAAUUUUACAAGAGAUCCUUGUAUUUUCAGCAUAAAGCUCUUACAUUUAACAGUGGUUUCAAAAUCAAGCCAGCAAAUAACAACUCAAGACACAAAAUCCGAAAUUUAUAUAUAGAUCCAAUUAGAAAACUCCUAAUAAUAUGACAAACAAAUGAAAACUGUGAUGUGAUUUCUUUGUAAAAGAUUUAAUCUUGUUCAAACCAACUAAAGCAAUCUGGAAAAAAAAAAAAAAAUUCCAAAUGAAAAAAGUGAUUCUAGAUAGUUUUGAGCUUGAUUAAUUCAGAAGUACAAAUCAGCCCCAAAUAUUAGAAGAUUCAUACCUAAUCGUACAAUCAAAAAGAAAAAUGGGUACUUUAGAAAGAUAAACCUUUGAGGUAGCCAAAGGCUUCUCAAAUUCUUCUUCUCUCUGAGUUGUAUUUUAGAAAUAGUUUGGAAUUAUGUGUUUCAUCUCACCUUGAAUAUAGAAACAAGAAAUAAACAACUUAAACACAUGAACCCUUAUCACCAUUAGAAGAGAAGAGAUGAGAGAUUGAAAUAUUGAGAGAGAAGGACAAACCUUUGAGGUAAAUUGUCAGGUAUUAGGACCUGAUUAGGGUUUGAAUCAUGAAAAAUAAACAAAGAAGAAGAAGAAGAAGAAGAGAAAGGAAGGUAGCAAGUUUAGGAAGAAAUAGUAGAAGGAAAUGAAAGAAACGUGAAAGAGAAAGAGAAAGUAAAAGUUACUUGUUCAUUCAUGCCUUUCUCAUUACAUCUGUCCACUAUAUAUAUCCUUAGUGGUUACACUACACCCAUUCCUUAACCGACAACUCAUACAGGACUCAAUGGUAAUAUCAGAAUUGGAUUGGGCCUAUACUAAGUCGGGCUUGGGCCUGACAUUCCACCCCUCUUAAAAGACUGCAUAUUUGCCCUGACAAAGUCUGGAAAACGCCUAGACAAUACAGAGAGGUCUUCCCAUGAAGUGGCAGUAGGGUCAGUAUGGGACCACUGCACUAACCAUUGAGUCACAGCUUGAUGAUUACGUGGCACCAUCUUUCGGUCGAGUACUGAGACCGGAGAAAUCAAGAACUGACCAUGAAUGUCCACUGAGGGUAACUCUGGUGAGGCUGUGUCUGUUGUACCAAUCUUCAGUUUUAGCUGAGACACGUGGAAAACUGGGUGAAUUUGGGCAGAUGCAGGCAACUGAAGCUUGUAUGCCACUUUGCCGAUUCGCGACACAAUUUGGAAAGGACCAAAGUACCGUGGAGAAAUCUUGAGAUUGUGACGAAUUACCACAGUGGAUUGGCGAUAUGGUUGUAAGCGAAGAUAAACCCAGUCCCCUUCAUUGAACUCACGAUCUGAACGAUGCUUGUUAGCAAAGAAUUUCAUUCCACUCUGAGCGUGAAGCAAAUUUUCUCUGAUGACUGAGAACAUAAUGGAACGAUCCUUGAGGAAUGUAACAACUUCAGGUGAACCCUCCACUGGUAUCUGAGGCACCGAAAUCACCGGUGGACUGUAUCCAUACAAGGCUUCGAAAGGCGACAUUUUGAGAGACGAGUGAAAUGAGGAAUUGUACCACCAUUCAGCAAGAGGAAGCCAUUUAGCCCACUUCUUUGGACGAGCACUAGUCAUGCACCGUAAAAACUGCUCCAAACAUUCAUUUAGCCUUUCCGUUUGACCGUCGGUCUGAGGGUGAUAAGCAGUAGAAUGAAGAAGCUUGGUGCCCAUCAAGGUAAAUAAUUUUGACCAAAAAGUACUGAGAAAUAAGGGGUCACGAUCACUUACUAUUGUUGUCGGACGACCAUGAAGCUUAUAAAUGUUAUCCAAAAAGGACUGAGCUACCUGAGCUGCUGUGUAGGGAUGAGAUAAAGGUAUGAAAUGUCCAUACUUAGUGAAGCGAUCAAUUACCACCAAAAUGGAAUCCACCCCAUCAGACUUAGGCAAGCCUUCCACAAAAUCCAAAGAGAUCUCAGUCCAAGGUCUAGUAGGAACUGGGAGAGGCUGAAGUAAUCCUGGGGCCGAGCUGUGGUCAGAUUUGUUGCGUUGACACACAUCACAACUCGCAGUCCAUAACUUGACAUCUUGGUGUAAUGAAGGCCAAAAGAAAAAUUGAGUUAUCCUCUUGGCAGUAGCUUUCACUCCUGAAUGUCCCCCCACAGCAGAAGAAUGUAGUUCUGUCCAAAUGUGUCGCCUGAGAGAACCAGAAGACCCAACCACUAGUUUACCCUGGAACCUGAGAAGUUGUUGGUGAAGAGAAUAGCCUUUGAUCUCAGCUGACAGCAGUAAAGAAGUAAGAAUUGACUGAAUGGUUUCAUCAUUUUCAUAACUCUGAAGUAACUCAUGUACCCAAGAAGGUUGCGCAAUUGAUAUGGCCUGGCAAGAUGCUGAAUCCUCAAAAGCUCUAGAUAAACUGUUAGCUACCACAUUGUCGACUCCCUUCUUAUAACAGAUUUCGUAAUCAUAGCCAAGAAGUUUGGAGAGCCACUUCUGUUGUAACAAUGUAGAUAUUUUUUGUUCUAACAAAUAUUUGAGACUUCUAUGAUCAGUCUUGAUGAUGAAAUGACGACCAUAUAAGUAGUACCUCCAUUUGGUGACAGCGAAAAUGAUAGCCCAGAGUUCCUUCUCAUAAGUAGAUAGACCCAGCUUUUGAGGGCGAAGAGACUGGCUGAGGAAAGCUAGAGGCCUGUUCUCCUGUAAUAAAACAGCUCCUACACCAUUCAAACAAGCAUCAGUCUCAACAGUAAAGACUUUAGAAAAAUUAGGCAAUUGUAAAACAGGAGUAGUAAUCAUGGCAGUUUUAAGUUGAGUAAAGGCUUGCUCAGCUGCAUCAGUCCACAAAAAUUGAUCCUUCUUCAGUAAAUCAGUGAGAGGCUUAGCCAUGAUGCCAUAGUGUUUGACAAACCUCCUGUAAUAACCUAUUAGACCUAAGAAGCCCCGUAAGGCUUUGAGAGUCUUAGGUGUAGGCCAGUUCUUCAUAUUUGCGGUUUUCAUAGGAUCAGCCGAAACUCCUUUCCAGGAAAUGAGAUGACCCAAAUAUUCCAACUCUGACUUAGCAAACUGGCACUUGGAUGCCUUGGCGUACAAUUGAUGGUGUUUCAUUAAUGAAAAUACCUGUCUGAGAUGGUCGACAUGAUCUUGCAAAUUUUUGCUGUAGAUUAGGAUAUCAUCAAAAAACACAAGUACAAAGCACCGUAAGUGAGCUUGAAAUACUUCAUUCAUCAGGCUUUGGAAUGUAGCUGGAACAUUGGUGAGUCCAAAUGGCAUAACCCUGAAUUCAUAAUGUCCCAAGUGAGUACUGAAGGCCGUCUUACCUAUAUCCGACUCCUGAACCCUGAUUUGAUGGUACCCUGCGCGCAGAUCCAAUUUAGAAAACACAGCAGCUCCAUGGAGUUCAUCAAGCAACUCCUCAAUAAUUGGAAUGGGAAAUUUAUUCUUGAUGGUCAUACUGUUUAACUGCCUGUAGUCUAUACACAUUCGCCAACUAUUAUCUUUCUUCUUUACCAAAAUAACUGGAGAUGUGAACGGACUUUGAGUUGGCUGAAUUACACCAGAAUCUAACAUGCCUUUGACCUGUUUUUCGAUUUCAGCCUUCUGUAUGUGUGGGUACCUAUAGGGCCUGACAUUUACAGGCUCAGCUCCCUCUUUCAGACAAAUUUUAUGAUCCACUGAUCUGAUUGGAGGUAGACCUACUAGUUCGUCAAAAAUUUCUGUGAAUUCCUGCAAAAGUUCUUGAAUUUCUGGAGGUUGGUCUUCAUUGGCCAGUGAUGUGUCUGUAGUGGCAGUCGACACUGAAUAUAACAUGCUCAUCAUGCUAUGAGGGUGGCGAUCACAUAACUUUUGGGUAGCUGUGGCCCCAAUGAUUUUCAACUCAGCUGCAUCUUGAAUUCCUUGCAAUACUAUAGUCUUUCCUUCCAACUGAAAUGAAAGUUGCAAGUUAUUAAAAUCCAUAGUGACGGGGCUUACAGAUUUAAGCCAUUGUACUCCCAACACUAGAUCACAUCCUCCUAAUGGAAGUAUCCUCACUUCCGAAACAAAUUUAUGACCUUGCAUCGACCAUUCAAAAGCAGGACAAAUCUCAUUACUCAGAAUCUUCUGUCCAUUGGCCACAUUAACCAACAAACGUGAGGCUUCAAUCAAAGCAUGUCCCAAAUUUCGUAUGGUGUCCACAUCUAUGAAAUUGUGGGUACUUCCCGAAUCAAUUAAGAUCGUAAUAUAGGUCUGGCAUACUCUGGCCUUGAUCCUAAUAGUUUCAUAGGAGGUCACCCCUGUCAAGGCAUUAAGAGAGAUCGAAACAUCUGAAAUGUCGUCGAUCUUAUCUAUGAUUUGUAGAGAACUUUGUUCUUGACUUGGGUCUGGAAUGUCUUCGUCUUCAUUAUCUCCAAUAAGCAUAAAUAAUUGCUUUUGUUUACAUUUAUGACCAUAGGAGUACACCUCAUCACAGUUAUAACAUAAGCCUUUAUCCCUUCUAGUUUUCAUCUCGUUAGGAGUUAGCUUCCUUAUUGGGAUGGAAGUACUAGCCCCACUUGAGUGAGAACUUCCACUGGACAGUCCUGAGUAAUUACUUGACGAAUGAUUUACAGAUGAACUAGAUUGAGGCUUGGAAAACUUACUUUGAGGUGUUGGACUAUAGGAAACCCCCGAAACUGAUGUAGUUGUCCUGGAAAAAUUACGAUGACUUCGGUGUAAUGAUUCCAAAGCUGCCUCAUGAGAUCGAGCCACAGAAAUAGCAUAGUUGAGAUCUCUUGGUCGAAAAGCGGAAACAUGAUGUCUUAAUUCAUCCUUCAACCCACUUAGGAAACUAUCCACAAAAUACCCCUCAGUUAACUGUCCAUUUUUUAUCAGCAUCAAAGCCUGCAACUCUUCAAAUUUACCUUGAUACUCAGCCACUGAAGAGGUUUGAGUUAACUUGUUGAAUUCCCCCACAAUAUUUUCUAAAGCUUCCUCUGAGAAUCUAGCUCGAAUUGCUGCAGAAAACUCCUCCCAAGACAAAUCGCCAAAAGAAUUAUAACAAGAUUGAAACCAAAUAUCAGCUCUACCACUCAAAUGUAAUGAAGCAAAUAAAGCCAUCUGCGUGGGUUCAAUCGGAUUAAACCUGAAAUAUCUUUCUGCUUUUCGAAUCCAGCUUCUCACAUCCUCACCAUCAAACUUAGGAAAUUCCAACUUAGGAAAUUUGUAAUGGCCAUAAGUACUGCUAGAUCCAAAUGUUUUAGGAUUCUUUUCACCUGAUUGGGUCACUACUUCAGCUGGGUUAUAUUAAUUCUUAUUAGAAGGAACAAAUUUUCCUCCAUUAUCAUUAUCACUUGUAAUAUGAACAACAGGUCGAGGCCCAAGUAAACCAUUACCUGAAACAACUCCUAAUGAAGAUGGUGAUGUUGGUGGUGAGAUUUGAUUUGAGUUCAUAGUCACAGCAGCGCUUGGGUCCUUACCCAAAUCGAUCCCUUUUGAACCUAACAGUGCCUCGAUUCCUUUUGACAACACUCCAAAUUGAUUCUUCAUAUCGGUGAAUGAUCCAAAUUGAUUCUUCAUAUCUUUAAUGGAGAUCUUGAUCUCUUCUACAUCAUCUUUUAAAGACAACUGAGUCACCGACAUCUCGUCGAACCGUCCUUCCAAAUUUUUUACAACAAUCUCUAACUUUUGAUUUCUAGUUUCAGUCAUCUUGAAUGACUUAGAUCGGCCCAGAACUACGGCUCUGAUACCACUUGUCAGGUAUUAGGACCUGAUUAGGGUUUGAAUCAUGAAAAAUAAACAAAGAAGAAGAAGAAGAGAAAGGAAGGUAGCAAGUUUAGGAAGAAAUAGUAGAAGGAAAUGAAAGAAACGUGAAAGAGAAAGAGAAAGUAAAAGUUACUUGUUCAUUCAUGCC
rnacentral:lncRNA from 1 species